rnacentral:rRNA from 1 species
AUACGGAGGGUGCGAGCGUUAAUCGGAAUUACUAGGCGUAAAGCGUACGUAGGCGGUUGGUUAAGUUAGAUGUGAAAGCCCCGGGCUUAACCUGGGAACUGCAUUUAAAACUGGCGAACUAGAGUUGAGUAGAGGGGAGUGGAAUUUCAGGUGUAGCGGUGAAAUGCGUAGAGAUCUGAAGGAACACCAGUGGCGAAGGCGACUCCCUGGACUCGAACUGACGCUGAGGUACGAAAGCGUGGGUAGCAAACGGGAUUAGAAACCCCAGUAGUCC